CCCCCGGAUUUCUCACUCUCGCACAGAGCGGCGACAACAGCAGCGGCUCGAUGAGCUCGCCAGCCAUGGCGGCGCAGGAGCUCCGCUCGCCGGCCAAGCGUGCAGCCGAUUGGAUCCCGCGCGCUUUGCCGUCGAACAAGGCCUCUGCGUCCGCGCGCCCCCGGCGGCUCGUACGGUGGGGAGGGAUGCACCGGCCACCGCGGAUUUAGGGGGCGAUGGCGGCAUGCACGGCGAUGGCCUCACACGCGCACAUCCAUAAUAGCGGCGCCGGCGGCUCUAAACACUCGGCGCCUCGUCCUUUAGCAGCUCAGCGGCGGCCGAUUCUUUCAGCGCGUCGUCCCGGGAGACGACGACGUCACGGGCGUCGGGAUCCCGAAGGUGCACCGGCGCGGCAUCAUGAGAGACCAUCAGGGGCUCCAUGCAGCUGUCGUGAGCCUCCAGGGGAGUGGAGUUUGUUGGGGAAGAAGCAGCAGCAUGGAGAUGGACGUGCAGAGUGCUGGACGCCGCCGGCACUACCCUCCUGGUGGUCGGCUGUAACGCCCCGAGACCGACGCUUCAGAAGACUUCCAUAUAUUUCGUGAUCACCGCGUGUUUCUUUUGGUGCUUGCUCUUUUAUUUUUGCAUUGCAUCAUGUCAUCAUGCCAUCAUGUCAUUAAUCUUUGCAUCAAAACUCAACUAAAUAAAUUGCAUGGAUCUUCGAUCCAUUUAAAUCGAGGGAAUUCACAUGGUGAUUUCUCUUUAUAACAUAUCCUCCUAAUAUUUAUGGAGCUAUAUUAUAAAUAUUCCAUUAGUUUGGAAUUAACCGGAACACACUUGCAAAUUAAUUCCCAUGCCUAUUUCCACUCCAAGUUUCACCUCCAAGCUUUGCCAACAAUUAUUUUCCCUCUUAUCGAGGCCCUUCCUAAAUGUUCAACAUUUUGGACACUUUGUAACCCUACUUGUUCAAAACAUUUGAAUUAAAUUCAAAUGCAUUUGAAUUUAAACCGUGCAAUCUUACCCA